GCGAACGCUGGCGGCAGGCCUAACACCUGCAAGUCGCACGAACUCUUCGGAGUUAGUGGCGGACGGGUGAGUAACACGUGGGAACGUGCCUUUUGGUUCGGAAUAACUCAGGGAAACUUGUGCUAAUACCGAAUGUGCCCUUCGGGGGAAAGAUUUAUCGCCAUUAGAGCGGCCCGCGUCUGAUUAGCUAGUUGGUGAGGUAACGGCUCACCAAGGCGACGAUCAGUAGCUGGUUUGAGAGGAUGACCAGCCACACUGGGACUGAGACACGGCCCAGACUCCUACGGGAGGCAGCAGUGGGGAAUCUUGCGCAAUGGGCGAAAGCCUGACGCAGCCAUGCCGCGUGAAUGAUGAAGGUCUUAGGAUUGUAAAAUUCUUUCACCGGGGACGAUAAUGACGGUACCCGGAGAAGAAGCCCCGGCUAACUUCGUG
rnacentral:rRNA from 1 species